GACGAACGCUGGCGGCGUGCUUAACACAUGCAAGUCGAACGAUGAUGCCAGCUUGCUGGUGGAUUAGUGGCGAACGGGUGAGUAACACGUGAGCAACCUGCCCCUGACUUCGGGAUAACCGCGGGAAACCGUGGCUAAUACCGGAUAUGACGCGCUAUCGCAUGGUGGUGCGUGGAAAGAUUUAUCGGUUGGGGAUGGGCUCGCGGCCUAUCAGCUUGUUGGUGGGGUGAUGGCCUACCAAGGCGACGACGGGUAGCCGGCCUGAGAGGGUGACCGGCCACACUGGGACUGAGACACGGCCCAGACUCCUACGGGAGGCAGCAGUGGGGAAUAUUGCACAAUGGGCGCAAGCCUGAUGCAGCGACGCCGCGUGAGGGAUGACGGCCUUCGGGUUGUAAACCUCUUUCAGUAGGGAAGAAGGCCUUCGGGUUGACGGUACCUGCAGAAGAAGCGCCGGCUAACUACGUGC
rnacentral:rRNA from 1 species